rnacentral:rRNA from 1 species
UACGGAGGGGGCGAGCGUUGUCCGGAUUUACUGGGCGUAAAGCGCGUGUAGGUGGCGGCUUAAGUCGGGUGUGAAAGCCCGGGGCUCAACCCCGGGAUGCCGCCCGCGACUGGGUCGCUUGAGGACGGAAGAGGGGAGUGGAAUUCCUGGUGUAGCGGUGAAAUGCGUAGAGAUCAGGAGGAACACCCGUGGCGAAGGCGGCUCCCUGGUCCGUCCCUGACGCUGAGACGCGAAAGCGUGGGGAGCGAACGGG